rnacentral:rRNA from 1 species
UACCAGCACCCCGAGUGGUCGGGACGAUUAUUGGGCCUAAAGCAUCCGCAGCCGGUUUUACAAGUCCUCCGUUAAAUCCAGCUGCUUAACAGAUGGGCUGCGGAGGAUACUAUAAGACUAGGAGGCAGGAGAGGCAAGCGGUACUCAGUGGGUAGGGGUAAAAUCCGUUGAUCCAUUGAAGACCACCAGUGGCGAAGGCGGCUUGCCAGAAUGCGCUCGACGGUGAGGGAUGAAAGCUGGGGGAGCAAACCGG